rnacentral:rRNA from 1 species
UACGUAGGCAGCGAGCGUUGUUCGGAGUUACUGGGCGUAAAGAGUGCGUAGGCGGUUUUCUAAGUUUGGUGUGAAAUCUCCCGGCUUAACUGGGAGGGUGCGCCGGAAACUGGAGUGCUCGAACGUGGGAGAGGAAAGCGGAAUUCCUGGUGUAGCGGUGAAAUGCGUAGAUAUCAGGAGGAACACCUGCGGUGUAGACGGCUUUCUGGACCAUUGUUGACGCUGAGACACGAAAGCGUGGGUAGCAAACAGG